AGGUCUCGCCCUUUUGGGCGUUUCCUCCCUAAUGACUUGGCCGCGCCCUCACCGGCGCGGCCUUUUUUCACGCCGCG
rnacentral:sRNA from 1 species